rnacentral:rRNA from 1 species
AGACCCGAAACCCGGUGAUCUAGCCAUGGGCAGGUUGAAGGUUGGGUAACACUAACUGGAGGACCGAACCGACUAAUGUUGAAAAAUUAGCGGAUGACCUGUGGCUGGGGGUGAAAGGCCAAUCAAACCGGGAGAUAGCUGGUUCUCCCCGAAAGCUAUUUAGGUAGCGCCUCGUGAAUUCAUCUCCGGGGGUAGAGCACUGUUUCGGCUAGGGGGCCAUCCCGGCUUACCAACCCGAUGCAAACUGCGAAUACCGGAGAAUGUUAUCACGGGAGACACACGGCGGGUGCUAACGUCCGUCGUGAAGAGGGAAACAACCCAGACCGCCAGCUAAGGUCCCAAAGUCAUGGUUAAGUGGGAAACGAUGUGGGAAGGCCCAGACAGCCAGGAUGUUGGCUUAGAAGCAGCCAUCAUUUAAAGAAAGCGUAAUAGCUCACUGGUCGAGUCGGCCUGCGCGGAAGAUGUAACGGGGCUAAACCAUGCACCGAAGCUGCGGCAGCGAACGUAUCACCCAAGACAACUUUACGGAGUUGACGAUUGACGGAGCGAAGCGACGUCAAAGCGUUCAUUAAAGUCGAGUUGGCUUAGGGAUACGUUCGUUGGGUAGGGGAGCGUUCUGUAAGCCUGCGAAGGUGGCCUGUGAGGGUUGCUGGAGGUAUCAGAAG